rnacentral:rRNA from 1 species
AGAGUUUGAUCCUGGCUCAGGACAAACGCUGGCGGCGUGCCUAACGCAUGUAAGUCGAACGGUGAAAUCUACUAUUUAUAGUGGGUGGAUCAGUGGCGAACUGGUGAGUAACACGUAGGUGACCUGCCCCAAAGAGGAGAAUAACUUGACGAAAGUGAAGCUAAUACUCCAUGUGAUCACGCAUUCGAUUGUGUGAUUAAAGUUACGGCGCUUUGGGAGGGGCCUGCGGCCCAUCAGCUAGUUGGUAGGGUAAUGGCCUACCAAGGCUAAGACGGGUAGCUGGUCUGAGAGGACGAUCAGCCACAAUGGCACUGAAACACGGGCCAUACUCCUACAGGAGGCAGCAGCGAGGAAUAUUGGACAAUCGACGCAAGUCGGAUCCAGCAACGCCGCGUGGACGGUGAAGGCUCUAGGGUUGUAAAGUCCUUUUAAGAGGGAAGAGGAAGGACGGUACCUCUUGAAUAAGUCUCGGCUAACUACGUGCCAGCAGCCGCGGUAACACGUAGGAGGCAAGCGUUAUCCGGAUUCAUUGGGCGUAAAGCGCACGCAGGCGGUUGAGUAAGUCGGGUGUGAAAGCCCCGGACUUAAUCCGGGGAGGUCAUUCGAUACUGCUUGACUUGAGAGCGGGAGAGGGAAGUGGAAUUCUCGGUGUAGUGGUGAUAUGCGUAGAUAUCGAGAGGAACACCAGUGGCGAAGGCGGCUUCCUGGCCCGUUUCUGACGCUAAGGUGCGAAAGCGUGGGGAGCGAACGGACUUAGAUACUCCGGUAGUCCACGCCGUAAACGAUGGGUACUAGGUGUAGGGGGCGUAAAGCUCUCUGUGCCAACGCUAACGCAUUAAGUACCCCGCCUGGGGACUACGACCGCAAGGUUAAAACUCAAAGGAAUUGACGG